UACGUAGGGGGCAAGCGUUAUCCGGAUUUACUGGGUGUAAAGGGAGCGUAGACGGCUGUGCAAGUCUGGAGUGAAAGGCAUGGGCUUAACCCAUGGACUGCUUUGGAAACUGUGCGGCUUGAGUGUCGGAGAGGCAAGUGGAAUUCCUAGUGUAGCGGUGAAAUGCGUAGAUAUUAGGAGGAACACCAGUGGCGAAGGCGGCUUGCUGGACGAUGACUGACGUUGAGGCUCGAAAGCGUGGGGAGCAA
rnacentral:rRNA from 1 species